UUGGCCUUUACUGUCUUUUGAGCGGAGGCCGACCUUGGGCCUGGCUGCGGUGUAGGCUCGUCCACCCAGCCGUCUCUGCGCGGUCCGACCGCUGGAAGCCCGGAGGGGCUCAGAAGUUUUCAUUUGGGGUCGGGAAAGGCCUUGAACUUGCUCAGAGUUAUGGGGUGAAGCCACAGAUUUCUGGAGGCAUUUGGGGGACGUGAAGAACGUCAAAGGCAAAUUGGUGCUGGCAGUUACUAUGUUGUGGUUUUCACCUGCGGUCAAACCUCAGAUAAAGAAACUGACUAGAGAAACAACUCGAGGGAUGGAGAUGUGGACAACUAAGCUGACAUCUGCCUCUCCAGGAUCUUAUCUUGUGUAUAGUAGUCCCUCUGUGGAUGUUGGUGGGAUGAAUAGAUGAAAGAGGAGCACAUAGAGGCUGGAUUCGAUGGAGAAUCACCCUGAAGAUCCUUAGCUGUGCCUCUUCUCUCUGGGGCUGGGGUGCAGCUGGAGGGACUGGAGGCUGUCUGCAGAGAAAUCUGAUCUUCUGCCAGCGUGAAGGCAGCUGCCCAAGACUUGUCACCAGCCAACAGGAUGGAGGAAGUCAAUGGUGAAAAACAAUGUGGGUAGAUUCCUACAAACUCACCCUCAUCAGUUGAAAGAAGAAAGGACUCAAAGCUUGUAAUCAAAGCCUGGGACA